rnacentral:rRNA from 1 species
UAUCAGGUAGUAGUGGGUGUAAUGUACCUACUAGCCGACAACGGGUACGGGUUGUGAGAGCAAGAGCCCGGAGAUGGAUUCUGAGACAUGAAUCCAGGCCCUACGGGGCGCAGCAGGCGCGAAAACUUUACAAUGCGGGAAACCGUGAUAAGGGGACACCGAGUGUCAGCAUCAUAUGCUGGCUGUCCAGGUGUGUAAAAUACACCUGUUAGCAAGGGCCGGGCAAGACCGGUGCCAGCCGCCGCGGUAACACCGGCGGCCCGAGUGGUGAUCGUGAUUAUUGGGUCUAAAGGGUCCGUAGCCGGUUUGGUCAGUCCUCCGGGAAAUCUGAUAGCUCAACUAUUAGGCUAUCGGGGGAUACUACCAGACUUGGAACCGGGAGAGGUAAGAGGUACUACAGGGGUAGGAGUGAAAUCUUGUAAUCCCUGUGGGACCACCUGUGGCGAAGGCGUCUUACCAGAACGGGUUCGACGGUGAGGGACGAAAGCUGGGGGCACGAACCGGAUUAGAUACCCGGGUAGUCCCAGCCGUAAACGAUGCUCGCUAGGUGUCAGGCAUGGCGCGACCGUGUCUGGUGCCGCAGGGAAGCCGUGAAGCGAGCCACCUGGGAAGUACGGCCGCAAGGCUGAAACUUAAAGGAAUUGGCGGGG